AGUAAGAGAAAGAUAUGCCACACUGUUUUUGGAGGGGGUUAUGUGCCACGGCACUCUGUGGCAGUUGAGACUGACUCUUGGCUGACAGCCAAUGAGAACCCAACCAACACCUUAAUUUCUUCCUGUCAAGCUUGAAGUAGAGAAACCACCCAAGACCCCUAGAAUUCUGAUCUACAGAACUGAACUGCAACUGCCGAGCCCACGUGCCACAGCUGCUGAGGCCUGCGUGCCUAGAGCCCGUGCUGCACGACAGGAGAAGCCACUGCAGUGACCAGCCCACACACGGCAACUAGAGAGUGGCCCCCGCUCACCACACUAUAGAAAAGCCCAUGCAGCGACAAAGACCCAACACAGCCAAAAAUAAAUAAGCUUUUUUCUUUUUUAAAAAACUGCCUCUUGUCCAAGCAUUGUCCUUGGUGCCAUAAAAAAUAAUCAUAAAACAAUCCCAAUCUUGAAGUGUCAUAUGAUGGAUCAGCAGUGAAUCAUCAAGCCCUACUCCAGGCCGUGCCCUUGAAAUACCUGUAAGCUGAUGACCUAUGUCAUAAACAGAACCAUGUUGUGUCCUGACAAUAAUCAUAGACUGAAUGACUAUGCUGUGCUAUCCAGUAAAAUGUCAGCUCAGCCCACAAGUGACUCUUCUGCCUGUUUCUUACAUACUUGACCCAGAAUUUUGUAUACAGUCAUCAAGACAUCACCUUACAGCUCAGCCAUGCCUUGGAGCAGCCCUUCCAUAGGGCUGCCUACUCAUCAGCCAGUUCUGUCUGUGUG
ensembl:lncRNA